AAGUCGUAACAAGGUUUCCGUAGGUGAACCUGCGGAAGGAUCAUUAACACGUAUCCAAACGUUAAACAACCCCGUGAACAUACAACCUGCUCUGGUCGCCCGCUCGCAUGGACAAGCCCAGUAAAUCAAGCCCCGGAAAGUUUUUGAUUUGGGACCUCUGUGCGCGUGAGAAAAACUGACAGCGAUUCAUAGAAGCGGUAGGUCAAGUGACACGGCGUCCCCAAGUGACCAGUGAAUGAAAGUGUCGCUGGAGCGUCAAGGACGACUCUUCAAGAUUGCUAGAGGUCGACCACCGACCGGCUUCCGUGUAUACCGAGCUAACACCGCUCCCUUCCGAACCCCAUACGGAUGGGCAGGCCCCCCGAACAACUGUUAACAAUGGAUAUCUUGGUUCUC
rnacentral:misc_RNA from 1 species